UACGUAGGUGGCAAGCGUUGUCCGGAUUUACUGGGCGUAAAGAGCGCGCAGGCGGUCGUUCAAGUCGCGUGUGAAAGCCCCCGGCUCAACUGGGGAGGGUCACGCGAUACUGAUCGACUCGAAGGCAGGAGAGGGUAGUGGAAUUCCCGGUGUAGCGGUGAAAUGCGUAGAUAUCUGGAGGAACACCGGUGGCGAAGGCGACAUCCUGGACCGGCAUUGACGCUGAGGCGCGAAAGCCAGGGGAGCAAACGGG
rnacentral:rRNA from 1 species